CAAACCAACACUGCUGGUUCAUCUCCUUCACCUUUGUCAUGGGUGUUUGAUCUCAAAGGUAUUGCUGAAAUGUAUCAAUCAUAUGAAGAAACAAAUCUGUGGAAAAUUGUGGAGGAUGUUCCUCGGGGCGUGCAUGUUAACUUUUUGAAAGCAGAAAGAAGUUUGCAUAGAUGGGCUCUUGAGGAUAUUAGAAGAAUCCAUGUUGCUGAGGAACAGGCUGUAGAGGAAGGAGGUGGAG
rnacentral:misc_RNA from 1 species